CUGAAUAAUGACAUACGUACAUAUGUAUCUACGAACGUCGUUAUAUGUACACACACACACACACACACACGACAGUCAUUGCGUACAUUAAACCAAACAUAAUCGCACAAAAGGGCAUUCAACUGCUGCAAUAAAGAAUAACAAUUUUCUAUAGAAGUAAUUUCAUUGGUGAUAGAAAUAUAAAGAGACAGCAAUAAUAACCCGAGGGACGACUCAGCAUUAGUCUUAACUGGAUCAAGAUAAAAUAAGGUCCUUUGUGAAGCAGUUUGAUAAAACCUGGUGCAGGAUAAAAAAAUAUUCCAAAAUUACUUGCUGGCUUUUGCAAUGUUAAGGAUGUUUGCUUUAGCAGUUCUGUUUGGGACAUUGUUUCUAAAUGUUUCUGCAAGUAUUAAUCUGCAAAUGAAAUAUACUGAGCAUGUACCAGAUAUAGCAAAAUUUGAGGAAGAGGAACGUCCUCGUAUGUUGUACUAUGUUCUCUAUACAGAUAUUGAAACACAAAAGUUCUUGGUAAAAUAUGAUUUGGCAGCAAAUGUCUUACUGAAAUACAAUUUCAAAGUUGGCAUUGU
rnacentral:lncRNA from 1 species